rnacentral:misc_RNA from 1 species
CAAAGGAAAUCACGUUUUGGCGCUGGGGUUCUUUUGGUUUUUGGUUGUCUAAUGGCUAAGAUGAUAGUUGAAGCUCUCAUCUUAGUAUUGGUUUUUAUAAUGGGGUUGUUUAACUAUGUGAAGGAUUUGUUUUGAGUUUUUGAAAUUAUAAAUCAAAUGCUAUAAAUAUUUGAAAUGGGAUUCACAUUCUUUUCACUUCCUGCAUUUUUCUCAGCAAUCAAUUGGGUCAUCAAAGUAAAUGGACGCUACUGUGUACUUUUUGUUAUUUUUGAUGUUCAAUUUUUAUUUUUCGAAGACUCAUUGAUGCUCUGAUUAUUUCCUCUCUCUUUUCUCUCUCUCCUUUGCAAUUAUUUCCUUUUGGGGAGUUAUUGAAGAAAUAAAGAAUAAAUGCUAAUGGGUACUUGAGUUUCCUUUCUUUUCUUUCUUUCUUUAUUUUCUUUUCAAUCGAUUCUUUUUAUUUAUGUAUAUCUGCGGACUUCAUGUCACUCAUUACUUUCAAAAUAGUUUUGUUUGAGUGAGAAAUUUAUGCGUAUUAUUGUAGGAUUUCUCAUCUCUUUUUUGGAUUUUUGAUGGCUAUACAGAGUCCAGAUGGGGAUAUAAUAG